UUGACCUCGGAUCAGGUAGGGAUACCCGCUGAACUUAAGCAUAUCAAUAAGCGGAGGAAAAGAAACCAACAGGGAUUGCCCUAGUAACGGCGAGUGAAGCGGCAACAGCUCAAAUUUGAAAUCUGGCGCCUUGGUGCCCGAGUUGUAAUUUGUAGAGGAUGUUUCGGGUGAGGCACCGUUCUAAGUUCCUUGGAACAGGGCGUCAUAGAGGGUGAGAAUCCCGUACGUGACCGGUGCUUAUCCCAUGUGAAACUCCUUCGACGAGUCGAGUUGUUUGGGAAUGCAGCUCAAAAUGGGUGGUAUAUUUCAUCUAAAGCUAAAUACUGGCCAGAGACCGAUAGCGCACAAGUAGAGUGAUCGAAAGAUGAAAAGCACUUUGGAAAGAGAGUUAAAAAGUACGUGAAAUUGUUGAAAGGGAAGCGCUUGCAACCAGACUCGCCCGGGGGUGAUCAACCGUCCUUUUGGUCGGUGCACUCUCCCCCGGCCGGGCCAGCAUCGGUUCGGGCGGUCGGAUAAAGAUUCCGGGAAUGUAGCUCCCCUCNNNGAGUGUUAUAGCCCGGGGUGCAAUGCGACCAGCCUGGACCGAGGACCGCGCUUUGCUAG
rnacentral:rRNA from 1 species